rnacentral:rRNA from 1 species
GCGCGAAAACUUUACAAUGCUGGCAACAGCGAUAAGGGAACCUCGAGUGCCAGGUUACAAAUCUGGCUGUCGAGAUGCCUAAAAAGCAUUUCAUAGCAAGGGCCGGGCAAGACCGGUGCCAGCCGCCGCGGUAACACCGGCGGCUCGAGUGGUAACCGUUAUUAUUGGGUCUAAAGGGUCUGUAGCCGGCCGGAUAAGUCUCUUGAGAAAUCUGGCAGCUUAACUGUCAGGCUUUCAGGAGAUACUGUCUGGCUCGAGGCCGGGAGAGGUGGGAGGUACUUCAGGGGUAGGGGUGAAAUCUUGUAAUCCUUGAAGGACCACCAGUGGCGAAGGCGUCUCACCAGAACGGACCUGACGGCAAGGGACGAAAGCUAGGGGCACGAACCGGA